rnacentral:rRNA from 2 species
UAAACGACUCUCGGCAACGGAUAUCUCGGCUCUCGCAUCGAUGAAGAACGUAGCGAAAUGCGAUACUUGGUGUGAAUUGCAGAAUCCCGUGAACCAUCGAGUCUUUGAACGCAAGUUGCGCCCGAGGCCUUUGGCCGAGGGCACGUCUGCCUGGGCGUCACGC